UAUUCCCUCAUCAGGUGCGAUCGGACGAUCGCAAUUAAAUACAAUGAAUAGUCUAGAUUCGUUUCUUCUUUAAAUGCGAUCGUACGGUCGAUAUCAAAUCGUGAUGAACGAUCCAGAUUCAUUUCUUCUUUAAACGUAAUCGAACGGUCGAGAUCAAACGCGAUGAAUGGUCCAGAUUUAAGGGAGAUAGAUAUAAAUAUCUCACAUUAUAUCAAACAUAAACCCUAGCUGCUAGCCUCCCGCUAGAG
rnacentral:lncRNA from 1 species